UACGGAGGGUGCUAGCGUUGUUCGGAAUCACUGGGCGUAAAGGGCGUGUAGGCGGUCUGUUAAGUCUGAUGUGAAAUCCCCUCGCUUAACGAGGGAACUGCGUCGGAUACUGGCAGACUUGAGUACCGGAGAGGAAGGUGGAAUUCCCGGUGUAGCGGUGAAAUGCGUAGAUAUCUGGAGGAACACCGGUGGCGAAGGCGGCAUCCUGGACCAUUAUUGACGCUGAGGAGCGAAAGCCAGGGAGCAAACGGG
rnacentral:rRNA from 1 species